rnacentral:rRNA from 1 species
AGGGAAUCUUCCACAAUGGACGCAAGUCUGAUGGAGCAACGCCGCGUGAGUGAAGAAGGUUUUCGGACCGUAAAGCUCUGUUGUUGGUGAAGAAGGAUAGAGGUAGUAACUGGCCUUUAUUUGACGGUAAUCAACCAGAAAGUCACGGCUAACUACGUGCCAGCAGCCGCGGUAAUACGUAGGUGGCAAGCGUUGUCCGGAUUUAUUGGGCGUAAAGCGAGCGCAGGCGGAAGAAUAAGUCUGAUGUGAAAGCCCUCGGCUUAACCGAGGAAUUGCAUCGGAAACUGUUUUCUUGAGUGCAGAAGAGGAGAGUAGAACUCCAUGUGUAGCGGUGGAAUGCGUAGAUAUAUGGAAGAGUACCAGUGGCGAAGGCGGCUCUCUGGUCUGCAACUGACGCUGAGGCUCGAAAGCAUGGGUAGCGAACAGGAUUAGAUACCCUUGGUAGUCCAUGCCGUAAACGAUGAGUGCUAAGUGUUGGGAGGCUUCCGCCUCUCAGUGCUGCAGCUAACGCAUUAAGCACUCCGCCUGGGGGAGUACGACCGCAAGGUUGAAAC